AACCUUAUGGACCUGCGGGCGUAUACCUGCGGAGGGAUCAUUAAAGAGAAAACUGCCCUUUGGGUAGAUCUCCCACCCUUUGUUUACCUUACCUUUGUUGCUUUGGCAGGCCCGUCUUCUGACUACCGGCUUUUAGCUGGUCCGUGCCUGCCAGAGGACCCCCAACUCUUGAUUUCGAGUUGUCCGAGUCUUAUAUAAUAGUAAAAACUUUCAACAACGGAUCUCAGAUCGGAAGAGCAC
rnacentral:misc_RNA from 1 species